rnacentral:SRP_RNA from 1 species
GCAAGGUGUGGUAGUACAUGUCUAUAACCCUAGCUUCCAAGGAGUCUGAAGUUGGAAGAUCUCUUGAGCUGGGGAGUUCUGAGCUGCUGCGCACUAUGCUAACAGGGUGUUCACACUAAGUUUGGCAUUAAUUUGGUGAGUUCCUAGACAUGAGAGGCCACCAUGUUGCUUAAGGAAAGACAAACUUGUCCAGGUCAGAAAUGGACCAGGUCAAAGUUCUAAUGCUGGUCAAUAGAGGGAUCAGGCCCAUGAAUAGCCCUUUCACUUCCAGCCUUGGUAAGAGGAGCACACUUAAUCUUU